rnacentral:rRNA from 1 species
AACGAACGCUGGCGGCAUGCCUAACACAUGCAAGUCGAACGAGACCUUCGGGUCUAGUGGCGCACGGGUGCGUAACGCGUGGGAACCUGCCCUUAGGUUCGGAAUAACUCCCCGAAAGGGGUGCUAAUACCGGAUAAUGUCUUCGGACCAAAGAUUUAUCGCCUUUGGAUGGGCCCGCGUUGGAUUAGCUAGUUGGUAGGGUAAAAGCCUACCAAGGCGACGAUCCAUAGCUGGUCUGAGAGGAUGAUCAGCCACACUGGGACUGAGACACGGCCCAGACUCCUACGGGAGGCAGCAGUGGGGAAUAUUGGACAAUGGGCGAAAGGCUGAUCCAGCAAUGCCGCGUAAGUGAUGAAGGCCUUAGGGUUGUAAAGCUCUUUUACCCGGGAUGAUAAUGACAGUACCGGGAGAAUAAGCUCCGGCUAACUCCGUG